GACGAACGCUGGCGGCGUGCCUAAUACAUGCAAGUAGAACGCUGAAGAGAGGAUCUUGCUCUUCUUGGAUGAGUUGCGAACGGGUGAGUAACGCGUAUGUAACCUGCCUUGUAGCGGGGGAUAACUAUUGGAAACGAUAGCUAAUACCGCAUAACAAUGGAUGACACAUGUCAUUUAUUUGAAAGGGGCAAUUGCUCCACUACAAGAUGGACCUGCGUUGUAUUAGCUAGUAGGUGAGGUAAUGGCUCACCUAGGCGACGAUACAUAGCCGACCUGGGAGGGUGAUCGGCCCAAAUGGGAAUGAGAAAAGGCCCAGAACCCCAAGGGAGGCAGCAGUAGGGAAUCUUCGGACAUGGGGGCAAAGCUGACCGCGCAACGCCGCGUGGGGGAAGAAGGUUUUCGGAUCGUAAAGCUCUGUUGUAAGUCAAGAACGGGUGUGAGAGUGGAAAGUUCACACUGUGACGGUAGCUUAACAGAAAGGGACGGCUAACUACGUG
rnacentral:rRNA from 1 species